AGCAGCAGCCGCGUAAUACAGAGGGUGCGAGCGUUAAUCGGAUUUACUGGGCGUAAAGCGUGCGUAGGCGGCUUUUUAAGUCGGAUGUGAAAUCCCUGAGCUUAACUUAGGAAUUGCAUUCGAUACUGGGAAGCUAGAGUAUGGGAGAGGAUGGUAGAAUUCCAGGUGUAGCGGUGAAAUGCGUAGAGAUCUGGAGGAAUACCGAUGGCGAAGGCAGCCAUCUGGCCUAAUACUGACGCUGAGGUACGAAAGCAUGGGGAGCAAACAGGAUUAGAUACCCCGGUAGUCCCUGUCUCUUAUACA
rnacentral:rRNA from 1 species